UGGGGAAUAUUGGACAAUGGGGGCAACCCUGAUCCAGCCAUGCCGCGUGAGUGAUGAAGGCCUUCGGGUUGUAAAGCUCUUUUGGCGGGGACGAUGAUGACGGUACCCGCAGAAUAAGCCCCGGCUAACUUCGUGCCAGCAGCCGCGGUAAGACGAAGGGGGCUAGCGUUGUUCGGAAUUACUGGGCGUAAAGCGAGUGUAGGCGGUUGCCGUAGUCAGGUGUGAAAGCCUUGAGCUCAACUCAAGAAAUGCACUUGAUACUGGGUGACUAGAGGACCGGAGAGGAUAGUGGAAUUCCCAGUGUAGUGGUGAAAUACGUAGAGAUUGGGAAGAACACCAGUGGCGAAGGCGGCUAUCUGGACGGUUACUGACGCUAAGACUCGAAAGCGUGGGGAGCAAACAGGAUUAGAUACCCUGGUAGUCCACGCCGUAAACGAUGGGUGCUAGACGUUGGCGAGCUUGCUCGUCAGUGUCGCAGCUAACGCGUUAAGCA
rnacentral:rRNA from 1 species